CACCCGAGAGUGUUUACAAGUAUAGGCAUGUGAGCUGUCCAAGGAAGAAGAUAUUAUCUGAUGGAAUCAUCUAGCAGUUCCUGAUGGUUGUGCUCUCAAGUGCUAUUUUCCUAAUAUAUAGACGUAAGAACAUCUUCUGCUUUAAUUGUUAUAGCAUAUUGUCAUUCUUUUAUUGCUUCAGUGUUACGCCCAUAGUCUAAUUAUGUCCAGCUUUUGUGGAAUUAGAAACAGUAACUUUACUAAUCUCUCUUCACUGUCAUAGUUGACAUAUCGUACAUGCCAUUGUUUUUGGAACAAGUUAUCCUGACUUCCCAAGCCAUAAUUUUUACAAUAUUAAUUACAAUAUAAUAGACGGAAUGCUUAAUAUGCUUAUGGAAAGCUAUAUUCAGCUAUUGAACCAAAGUUCUUCACUAUGCUAAGUUUAAGAACUUACUCACUUACCUGGCAUUGUCUUAUGAAGUCAAAUGUGCUUACUACUUUAUGUCAUUUGAAACUUACUUUUCUCGCUAAUUGUUGUAUAAUAAUUUACUUCACUGAAUGUAGUAGAGGGUCAAUAAAAUUGCAGAAUUAUGAUAUAGCCUGAACUGGUAUGUUUCUGUUCUCGCCAUCAUGCACAUCUUCUUGCACACUAUUCUGUUUCUACUCUUCAAGUGCCAGCAUUGUCCUUCCUGUUAAUGUAGAUGACUGCUCGUUGUUGUCGCAAGAUGAAGAUAAGAAGUGAGAUAUGAUGCAAGUGACUAAGAAGAAGCAUUACCACCUCCAAAGGAAAUCUCCAAUGCCUAUUUGAAUUCAGGGUUUUUUAUUUGCACUUUGUUUGUCAGAUGUUUUGGUUGAGCGAAUGAUUGAGUAGUCACCGGAAGCAAGAACGCCACCAAAUAUUGAUAUAAACACAUGGUUUUGUAUUUUCCUAUAGCCAGUUGUGCAUUGUUCAGUUUUAUGAAAUGGUUUUAUUUUACCUGAGAGAUGACUGGUUAACAGUAUACCUAAAUUAUCUAUAUGUAUUUCAUUUGUCUAAUAUAUCCAGUUUGUUCUUGCUACAAUCCCCGCAGCAAUGCGCGGAGUGUCAUCUAGUUUCAUUAUAUUUACAUCAAUUAAGUAGUGCUUUUCCAACUCUGGAGGUAUAAUUAAUACACCUAAUCUAUGAUCGCCGACGCCCGUUCCCCGUGUCUGGCCAUGAGCCCUGAGAACUAAAGCUUCCUCUUCUCCAG
rnacentral:lncRNA from 1 species